rnacentral:misc_RNA from 1 species
GAUUUCAUCAACUGGCUCGCGACCUUCCAGCUUCCGGAAUACGAGCUCCGUACAGUCGACGGCCAAUACGAACUGCAUUUCCACGGACCGUGGACCCACACCACGAUGUGGGAAAUUCCCGCUCUUGCGAUCAUCAAUGAACUGCGGUCGCGGCAAGCGAUGAAGGGCCAGGGGCGCUUCGUUCUCGACGUGCUCUAUGCACGCGCCAAGGCGAAACUCUGGUCCAAGGUCGAGCGGCUGCGCAAACUGGAAGGCUUGCGGCUCUCGGAUUUCGGAACGCGG